rnacentral:lncRNA from 1 species
AAAUUUCAACAAAUGUUACUCCCUUUGAAGAGACUUAUAAUGGAUUUUAACCUUCAAAAUCCCAAAUUCCAUAUUUUUGUAUUUUAUUUUAUUUGUUUUCUAUUUUCAUAUUCUAAAAUAAAAUAUUAAAUUUUUUGUAGAUUCGUUAUUUUAUUUAUUUGAUUUUUAGUCAUAUUUUCAUAAUUUUUAUAUUUUAUUUU